UGCCCUUACGUUUUGGUUGGCAAUUUCAAUACAAAAUGUAAAACAAAACUUGCAGUAUUGAAGCAAGUUUGUUGUCCUAACCUAUGAUUUUAUUCUCAAAGCACCACCACCUGCAUACAUAGAAGUUGCCUAUAUAUUAAUGGAGGGUAAUGAAAUUAAAAGCAAAGAUUAAAAACUCUUCCAAUGAAGUAUGUGAAGCUUCAUAAGUGCCAACUCCGGCAAGACCAUGAGUCGUUCUCGGAAUCGGAGAUCCGCGAUCCUCCAAGGGGAGUAAUAGGUGAACACAAGACGCAUCAAGUGACAAAAUUUGUGGAAGCCAUGCGCAGAGUCCUUAUGGCUGGGAAUCAAGAACAAUCAAAACAGCAAUCAUCAUCUGUUAGUCGUACCAAAGAUGAUUAGCGUUUAAUUUAUAUUUAAAUGCAUCACAUAGCAAUAUUGCAUGUAUUAUGAGAUUGGAGAAUUGCAGCAAGUGCCACCUUCACUUGUCCAUGGUUGCCAAUGAAUGAAAGUGUAAAGGCUGCGAGGAAUGAUUAGUACUAGACUACCAUUAGACUACCAUUUGAAUAAAGGCACAUGAACACAUUUAAAAUAUGAACUAUCAAUUGAUAAAGAGUUCAUUUUCUUUCCGUCUUCUCUAAAUUUUCAAUUUUUUGUUCCUUCAAAAUCACAGUACGACUUAUGUUCAACCACAAGUGUAUUCCUCAGUCUCUUAUUAUUUUUCUUAAUAUUUUCACCAAUGGAAAAGAUAUCUAUUUUUGAAUUCUUUU